rnacentral:tRNA from 1 species
GGAGAGGUGCUCGAGUGGUUGAAGAGGCACGCCUGGAAAGUGUGUAUACUCCUAAAGGGUAUCGCGGGUUCGAAUCCCGCCCUCUCCG